rnacentral:rRNA from 1 species
CAGCAGCCGCGGUAAUACGGAGGAUGCAAGCGUUAUCCGGAUUCACUGGGUUUAAAGGGUGCGCAGGCGGAAUAUUAAGUCAGUGGUGAAAUCCUGCAGCUUAACUGUAGAACUGCCAUUGAUACUGAUAUUCUUGAAUAUAGUUGAGGUGGGCGGAAUGUGUAAUGUAGCGGUGAAAUGCUUAGAUAUUACACAGAACACCAAUUGCGAAGGCAGCUCACUAAACUAAUAUUGACGCUGAGGCACGAAAGCGUGGGUAGCAAACAGGAUUAGAUACCCUGGUAGUCCACGCUGUAAACUAUGAUCACUCGCUGUUGGCAAUACAUCGUCAGCGGCUGAGCGAAAGCAUUAAGUGAUCCACCUGGGGAGUACGGUCGCAAGAUUGAAACUCAAAGGAAUUGACGGGGGCCCGCACAAGCGGAGGAACAUGUGGUUUAAUUCGAUGAUACGCGAGGAACCUUACCUGGGCUUAAAUGCAGAGCGACGUCCGCCGAAAGGUGGAUUCCUUCGGGCGAUCUGCAAGGUGCUGCAUGGUUGUCGUCAGCUCGUGCCGUGAGGUGUCGGGUUAAGUCCCAUAACGAGCGCAACCCUUAUCGUUAGUUGCCAGCGGGUAAUGCCGGGGACUCUAACGAAACUGCCGGUGUAAACCGUGAGGAAGGUGGGGAUGACGUCAAAUCAGCACGGCCCUUAUGUCCGGGGCUACACACGUGUUACGAUGGUCGGUACAGAGGGCGGCUACCACGCGAGUGGAUGCUAAUCUCGAAAACCGGUCUCAGUUCGGAUUGAAGUCUGCAACUCGACUUCAUGAAGCUGGAUUCGCU